rnacentral:lncRNA from 1 species
GGGGGCAGAAAUACUGGAGGGUUCUAAAACACAGUCCCUCCACAGGAGUUAAAUCAUGUGCCAGUUCAGGGAUUCACUUCUGGAGGGAGAAACCUGAUUUAUUUCAUGAGUUUUUGUAUGGAUGGAAGUUUUCAAAUGAUUUAGUAGUUUCAAGUACAUUUGCAACCCUCAGAGAGGCCGGGUCCAGGCUGGCAGUCUUUGAAGGUUUUGCAGUCGACAAGGUCCUCAUAUGCAUGAAGAUGUCUUGUUUCUGGUAAACUCUAUUUUGGAAAAAAAAAAAAAAUCACUGACUUUACUUUGAAGACUUUGCAUCAGUCUCUGGAGGCAAACAGGGCAGCAGUCCAGAAUUUUCUUGGCCGUCAGCACAAAGGAGGCUACACAUCAGUAACAAGGAGAAACGGCAAACUUCAGCAAAAACAAAGACCUGUCCUGGUUUUAAAAGAAAGACAGAAAGAAAGAAAACAGGACAUAUGAUCACCUAAGUUAGCUGCCAAGUAUAUGAAGGAGCUCCAAAAAGAGUGCAGUGUUCAUUGUAAAAGAGAAACCAUAAUUACUGCUAGGAAAUCUGGAGUGAUAAGUUCAUAGAGCUGCUGAGCACUAAUUGCGGGUGGGCAGUGGAGGGGACGGCUUUGAGUGAGAACCUGCCUAGAGUAACAGCCUCGUUCUUUCAAGAUCAAACCUUCUUUUUGUGAACUCUGCACGAUGGGAUACCAAGUGGUACUGAUGCCAGGGCUUCCCAGAAGCAUGGAAACGGGAAGAAAGCCUUCUGUAGGUGUCAGAUAUCUCAGAAAUGGUGUGUUCCAUUUGGAUUUCCUCUAAUGAUUUGUGUUGACUGGAAAAGAAGACGAAAUGGCGAUGCCCUGGUUGCACAGGCACUGAUCACAAUGAGAGCAGACCUGCCCAGGGGGGAGAACUGGUUCCUGAACAUGUACCGCAGGUGUGGAAAAUCCUUAUGCUCCGGACCGGGUGAUACAUCAACUUCCCAAACAUACUAUCUGGUCCAACAAUUAGGCAAUAAAAAGCCACUCUGUAUUUUA